UUCGUACAGAGAUGUGAGAAGAGACGCGAAAAAAGGAAAAGAAAUAAAUUAUCCCAUAUAUUUAGAUUUACAAAUGCAAUUAGGAGCAAAAAAAAUCAAGGGCGGAGAAAUAUAGAGGCUAAGGCGAGAUUACCGAGCAUGCGACUUACGCACAAAGGAACAAGUCAACCAAUACAUUCUGUGUGAAAAAGAAAAAUACUAGGACGAACUCAAUGUUAAGUAGUCACCAAAGCACAUCACCAUCUCCCGCUACAGCAAGAAGGCAUACGUCUUGUCCCUUUCUGUUCCCUACUGACGUUCAUUCAAAGAAUGGAUCAACUCGUGCACCGACUCGCACAAACAUCCACCUUGCCGAAAAUGGCAGUUGCCGCUCUGAGAGCUUGCUGCCGCCGCACUAAACGGGCGCAAAGCAAGAGGAAUCACUUGAGAGUCUGUCGAUUGCCGCGUAACUUUAACAAAUGCUUGCCUCCCCUUCUUUUUUGUUUUCUUUCGGUCUUUGCGCAGCUGCUCGCGAUGAGCUGUUGUUGGCGCAGCCGUUCUCGCAAGGGACCCCAAGAGAGAAAGUUUGGCUUUUUUUUUGCUAUAGAAUAAUAUGGGCCCGUGCCACACGUGCUCGGCGGCCUAUGAGAGUGCGGCGUAUAUUUUUCGAGCCAUCUGGUCACACUGAUGAGGUCUGCCGGGGGGGCCGAGAUUCUCGACGACUCUCUCGCCGCCCGCGUGGAAAGUCCGCUUUGAACACCAGUCUGUUUGCCACGGAAUGUGAAGCAGCCACUCAUGUCGGGGACAGCAUUCCACGGGCCUGUACCUAUAUUCCGGAAAACUGGGUCACGCACUUCCACCGGGUACCACAAGUUGGAACGUUACGUGGAACGACACCAAUGCUGUACAGGUUCAUUACUGGUGCGAUGGCGCUACAGAGAGUAAAUGAAGACACAAAAAUAUAUACUGAAGACAAGCGCGGAGCGUCUACUUCUUCGCCGUGUCUACCUUCAUCCGGUAUCGUUUGCUCAAGGCCUUCUCAUAUUACUAGCCCAUACAAAACUGCACAUCCACUAAUGUAAAAUAGGCAGUGAAGGAGUGGCUUGCGGAUGAGGAAGAGGAGAACCAAGUGGCUCUCCUGGAGCCAAGUCCAGAGAGCCGCACGCUCCAGGGAAGCCUUGGACUAAGCGGCCCACCACGCUUGCCUAGUUUUCUUUCUGGAACAUUAAGCUUCCUUCCUUCCUUCCUUCCUUCCUUCCUUCCUUCCUUCCUUCCGUGGCGCCAUCGUGCCAGAAACGAGCCUCUUCAAGUCAACUAUCUGCUCAGGACGUGGUAGCA